rnacentral:rRNA from 1 species
CCUACGGGGGGCUGCAGUAGGGAAUAUUGCUCAAUGGGGGAAACCCUGAAGCAGCAACGCCGCGUGGAGGAUGACGGUUCUCGGAUUUUAAACUCCUUUUGUUAGAGAAGAUAAUGACGGUAUCUAACGUAUAAGCACCGGCUAACUCCGGGCCAGCAGCCGCGGUAAUACGGAGGGUGCAAGCGUUACUCGGAAUCACUGGGCGUAAACGGCGCGUAGGCGGGAUAGCAAGUGCGAAGGGAAAUGCUAAGGCUUAACCAGAAAACUGCAGUUGAAACUGGUGAUCUAGAGGAUGGGAGAGGUAGGCGGAAUGCUUGGUGUAGGGGUGAAAUGCGUAGAGAUCAAACAGAAUACUGAUUGCGAAGGCGGCCUACUAGGACAUAACUGACGCUGAUGCACGAAAGCGUGGGGAGCAAACAGGAUUAGAUACCCCUGUAGUC